AUUGAACGCUGGCGGCAGGCCUAACACAUGCAAGUCGAGCGGAUGAAGGGAGCUUGCUCCUGGAUUCAGCGGCGGACGGGGGAGUAAUGCCUAGGAAUCUGCCUGUUAGUGGGGGAUAACGUCCGGAAACGGGCGCUAAUACCGCAUACGUCCUGAGGGAGAAAGUGGGGGAUCUUCGGACCUCACGCUAUCAGAUGAGCCUAGGUCGGAUUAGCUAGUUGGUGGGGUAAAGGCCUACCAAGGCGACGAUCCGUAACUGGUCUGAGAGGAUGAUCAGUCACACUGGAACUGAGACACGGUCCAGACUCCUACGGGAGGCAGCAGUGGGGAAUAUUGGACAAUGGGCGAAAGCCUGAUCCAGCCAUGCCGCGUGUGUGAAGAAGGUCUUCGGAUUGUAAAGCACUUUAAGUUGGGAGGAAGGGCAGUAAGUUAAUACCUUGCUGUUUUGACGUUACCAACAGAAUAAGCACCGGCUAACUUCGUG
rnacentral:rRNA from 1 species